rnacentral:lncRNA from 1 species
UGCGGGGGCAGUCGACUAAUUCAAAUGUCAAACAGUAAAUAAUUCCUUAUUUUUUUUCAAAUAUCAAGAAUGUGAAACUAAAACCAUCUGAAUUGAAUAGAUUAAUUGUAUAAAUAUUUGCUUUCAAUUACGGUUUCACUAUGUGUUUAAGAAUAAAAGUACUUCGUUAUGUACUAGUAGUUAUAUUUAGGCGUCAAACCGCAGUACAUUUUAUUUGAACCG